rnacentral:miRNA from 1 species
AGUGUUUGGAGCUAGCUCCCGAGAGAGUGAAGUCAUGCUUGUGCCUCUGGGGCUGUCUCCUUAG